GUGGGUAGCGGUGAAAUUCCAAUCGAGCCCGGAGAUAGCUGGUUCUCCCCGAAAUAGCUUUAGGGCUAGCCUCAAGGUGAGAGAUACGGAGGUAGAGCACUGAAUGUCCUAGGGGGUAUUGCACCUACCGAAGACUAUCAAACUCCGAAUGCCGUCAUCUUAUACUUGGGAGUCAGACUGUGGGUGAUAAGAUUCAUAGUCGAAAGGGCAACAGCCCAGAUCGUCAGCUAAGGUCCCUAAAUGUAAGUUAAGUGGUAAAGGAUGUGGGAUUGCACAGACAACCAGGAUGUUGGCUUAGAAGCAGCCACUCAUUCAAAGAGUGCGUAAUAGCUCACUGGUCGAGUGAUCCUGCGCCGAAGAUUUCCGGGGCUAAAACUUACUACCGAAGCUACGGCAUCAGUAAUGAUGGGUAGGGGAGCUUCCCAUACGGGUUGAAGCAUGACCGUAAGGACAUGUGGACAGUAUGGGAGUGAGAAUGUUGGCAUGAGUAGCGAGAUGUGGGUGAGAAUCCCACAGGCCGUAAACCCAAGGUUUCCAGGGGAAGGUUCGUCCGCCCUGGGUUAGUCGGGACCUAAGCUGAGGCCGAAAGGCGUAGGUGAUGGACAACAGGUUGAUAUUCCUGUACUACCGAUAACCGUUUGAGAGAUGGGAUGACACAGUAGGAUAAGCUAAGCACACUGUUGGUUAUGUGUGCCCAAGCAUUGAGGCAGUCAGAGUAGGUAAAUCCGCUUUGACAAUGCUGGGAUGUGAUGGGGAGCGAAAUUUAGUAGCGAAGUAGCUGAUUUCACACUGUCAAGAAAAGUCUCUAUCGAGGUUAAAGGUACCCGUACCGCAAACCGACACAGGUGGGUGAGGAGAGUAUCCUAAGGCCCGCGAGAGAACUGUUGUUAAGGAACUCGGCAAAAUGACCCCGUAACUUAGGGAUAAGGGGUGCCACCAUACGGUGGCCGCAGAGAAUAGGCCCAAGCGACUGUUUACCAAAAACAUAGGUUUCUGCUAAGUCGCAAGACGAUGUAUAGGAGCUGACGCCUGCCCGGUGCUGGAAGGUUAAGGGGAUCUGUUAGAGCAAUCGAAGCAGUGAACUUAAGCCCCAGUAAACGGCGGCCGUAACUAUAACGGUCCUAAGGUAGCGAAAUUCCUUGUCGGGUAAGUUCCGACCCGCACGAAAGGCGUAACGAUUUGGGCACUGUCUCAACAACAGACUCGGUGAAAUUGUAAUUCCGGUGAAGAUGCCGGAUACCUGCGACAGGACGGAAAGACCCCAUGGAGCUUUACUGUAGCUUGACAUUGGGUCUUGGUACUACAUGUACAGGAUAGGUGGGAGGCUUUGAAACCAGGACGCCAGUUUUGGCGGAGCCAUCCUUGGGAUACCACCCUUGUAGUACUGGGACUCUAACCAUAGGCCAUGAAUCUGGUCUUGGGACACUGUCAGGUGGGCAGUUUGACUGGGGCGGUCGCCUCCCAAAAGGUAACGGAGGCGCUCAAAGGUUCUCUCAGUACGGUCGGAAAUCGUACGUAGAGUGUAAAGGCAAAAGAGAGCUUGAUUGCAAGACAUACAGGUCGAGCAAGGAUGAAAAUCGGACUUAGUGAUCCGGUGGUUCUGCGUGGAAGGGCCAUCGCUCAACGGAUAAAAGCUACCCUGGGGAUAACAGGCUUAUCUCCCCCAAGAGUCCACAUCGACGGGGAGGUUUGGCACCUCGAUGUCGGCUCAUCACAUCCUGGGGCUGUAGUAGGUCCCAAGGGUUGGGCUGUUCGCCCAUUAAAGUGGUACGCG
rnacentral:rRNA from 1 species